rfam:Labrenzia sp. VG12 chromosome, complete genome.
GGGGCCAUAGCUCAGCUGGGAGAGCGCUUCGCUGGCAGCGAAGAGGUCAGGGGUUCGAUUCCCCUUGGCUCCA